rnacentral:rRNA from 1 species
CACUCCUGCGGGAGGCAGCAGUGGGGGAUAUUGGACAAUGGGCGCAAGCCUGAUCCAGCCAUGCCGCGUGAGUGAUGAAGGCCCUAGGGUUGUAAAGCUCUUUCACCGGUGAAGAUAAUGACGGUAACCGGAGAAGAAGCCCCGGCUAACUUCGUGCCAGCAGCCGCGGUAAUACGAAGGGGGCUAGCGUUGUUCGGAUUUACUGGGCGUAAAGCGCACGUAGGCGGACUAUUAAGUCAGGGGUGAAAUCCCGGGGCUCAACCCCGGAACUGCCUUUGAUACUGGUAGUCUUGAGUUCGAGAGAGGUGAGUGGAAUUCCGAGUGUAGAGGUGAAAUUCGUAGAUAUUCGGAGGAACACCAGUGGCGAAGGCGGCUCACUGGCUCGAUACUGACGCUGAGGUGCGAAAGCGUGGGGAGCAAACAGGAUUAGAAACCCUUGUAGUCCC